ensembl:snoRNA
UCUGAGGUCUAUCCCGACAGACCUUUCGCUGUAGGGCCGUGUCGUUGGAAAUGCCUCAAAAAGGAAAUCUGCUUUGCUUUACCCACAUGUUCACUGCCAUGGGCGUUGUGGGAUAUUACUGCAGAACAAGU